UGGGAUAAGCUGUUUCCAAUUGAAUAUCUAGGCUUAGUUUAGUAUUGAGGUUUAUUUGAUGCUGUUAGAUAAAAUUGAGUUAGAAAAAAAAUAUAUAGGAAUAUGUUUCUACGUUCUCCGAUUGGACCGCAGAAUAUAUAUUAUAGUCGAUUUAUUGCAAUAUGCGAAACACAAUAUUACGUACCGAAACAAAUAUGAUAUUUUUCCAUCGUUUAUUUCGCGAAGCCCUGCUAUAACUAAUCCUACCCCACAACCAAU
rnacentral:lncRNA from 1 species